CAUUAUCGAAUAUGAUUCGAAGAGGUAGAGAGACUGUCGCUGGUCAGAUCUUGGCAUGUGCACGUCCCCUCACCUUUUCUAUCUACACACACUUGUGCACCUAUUGUAGAUCCCUUUCGAGAGAGAGGGAACUAUGUUUUCAUCACAUCACACACAAUGUAUGUCUAGAAUGUAAAAAACAAUAUAUACAACUUUCAGCAACGGAUCUCUUGGCUCUCGCAUCGAUGAAGAACGCAGCGAAUUGCGAUAAGUAAUGUGAAUUGCAGAUUUCCAGUGAAUCAUCGAAUCUUUGAACGCACCUUGCGCUCCUUGGUAUUCCGAGGAGCAUGCCUGUUUGAGUGUCAUCGAAUUCUCAACCAUUCUCUCUUUUCUGGGAGUAUGGCUUGGACUUGGGGGUUGCUGGCAGCACUGUCAGCUCUCCUUAAACGCAUUAGCAAUCGAGUUGGCUAGUCUUUUGACGUACACGGCCUCGGACGUGAUAAUGAUCGUCGUGGCUGGAGCGUCUUUCCUAGACUAUGUACAUAGAUCGCUUCUAAUCUGUUGUCUAUCGAGCUUAGCUACUAGGCAGUCUUUUUGGCUGGCGAACGCAAGCGAGACAUUCACAUUCUCAGAGACUUGACCU
rnacentral:rRNA from 1 species